UACGUAGGGGGCAAGCGUUGUCCGGAAUCAUUGGGCGUAAAGCGCGUGUAGGCGGUUCGAUAAGUCUGCUGUGAAAGUCCAGGGCUCAACCCUGGGAUGCCGGUGGAUACUGUCGGACUAGAGUACGGAAGAGGCGAGUGGAAUUCCCGGUGUAGCGGUGAAAUGCGCAGAUAUCGGGAGGAACACCAAUUGCGAAGGCAGCUCGCUGGGACGGUACUGACGCUGAGACGCGAAAGCGUGGGGAGCGAACAGG
rnacentral:rRNA from 1 species